rnacentral:siRNA from 1 species
CGCUUGGGAAUUGUUGAUGGUUC